rnacentral:sRNA from 1 species
AGUCUUCCAUCUGCUGCGGGCAGAUAAAGUGGAUAUGGCUGUCCAUGCCGCCUGCGGUCAGGAUACGGCCUUCACCCGCGAUGACCUCGGUCCCAGGGCCCACGAUAAUAUCGACACCGGGCUGGGUAUCAGGGUUGCCUGCCUUGCCGAUGGCGUGGAUCAAACCGUCUUUGAGCGCAACAUCAGCCUUGUAGAUGCCGGAGUGAUCGACGAUCAGCGCGUUGGUUAUGACGGUAUCAACCGCACCACCGGCACGCGUGACCUGUGAUUGGCCCAUACCAUCGCGGAU